GAUGAACGCUAGCGGGAGGCCUAAUACAUGCAAGUCGAGCGGUAGAGUGACUUCGGUUGCUUGAGAGCGGCGAACGGGUGAGUAACGCGUACACAAUCUACCUUUAAGAGGGGAAGUAGCCCUGGGAAACUGGGAUUAAUGCCCCAUGGCAUCACGAGACGGCAUCGUUUUGGUGAUUAAAGCUGAGGUGCUUAGAGAUGAGUGUGCGUCUGAUUAGCUAGUUGGUGCGGUAACGGCGCACCAAGGCGACGAUCAGUAGGGGGCGUGAGAGCGUGGACCCCCACACGGGUACUGAGACACGGACCCGACUCCUACGGGAGCAGCAGUAAGG
rnacentral:rRNA from 1 species